GGUGGGUCGUUUCGGGGUCGGGGUGGGUUGGAUGGUUGGUAAAGGGCCGACCGACCAUUUUUGGUGGUUAAGGGAAGGUGGCCGACCGACCAUUUUCGGUGGUUAAGGGAAGGUGGCCGACCGAAAUCCAGCGAGGUUAUGGGGUGUGGUUAGGGUUUUCGGUGAGGUUAGGGGGUGGGGAGAGGUGGCUGGCAAUUUUUUUAUUUAUUUUGUGGGUUUUUUUUUUAAGAAAAAAAAAUUUAGACCAAUCACGUGUUGACUCGUGCAGCGGCGGAGGAGGCUUAUGUCUUAGUGGGGCACGUGCCCUGCCAAGUUUUUUUUUUUUUUAAAAAAUUGACGUUAAAUUUUUUUUUUAAAAGACGCUGAUAUUCAUAAACUUAUUACCGCUGCUAUAGUAGUGCCUUGCCAUGACAGUUUGUCAAGUCCAUUUAUGUCCCCCAAUUUCCCAAAUAUUAUUACUUUUUAUUUCAAAAAUUAGUAAUAAAAAAAAAAAGUUUAGGGAAACUAAAAGUCAGAAAACAAGUUUUCCCAAAUAUUCCUCUUUCCUCACCGUGCUCUCUUCUAAACUGCUACUCUACACUCUGCCUCUCCAGUCUCCAUGACCACGACGGCCUCCUCGCCUUGACUGCUCGCCAGCGUCGGAUUCCAGCAGUCCGCCACUCCACAAGACCACCACCGUCUUUAACUCAUCUCUAGCGGCGAUUUGAGUUUGUAUUCGAUAGUGCCCUACCAUCCUUGAAUUCCUUGCUCCGCCACUGGACAUGUGUCAUGAUACCUGUUGACUUGAUGUUGAUCGAUUGGGACAUAUUGGAGGCAAACGCAUAUCAUAGUUGAGAUUAUUAAAAAAUAAACCUUUGUUGGGAUUAUUAGAAGUAAAUCGCCCAUAGUUGGGAUUAUGAAACUGUAUUAAUCCUUUUUAUAACAUGGUGUUUGUUUGCAAUCGGUGGUUCGUACACCCAAGUGCACCCAGAUUGAAGUGGAAAAACACAUAACUUAUAUUUCCUCUAUUUUCUUAUAGUUGCAACACUUCUCUUUU